AUGGGCAACCCCGUCGCGGCGGCCAUCACGCACGUGCUGCACAACAAGCAGGAGUUCCCCCUCGCAGCCGGCGUCGACGACCUGCUCGUCGUCUCCAUCGGCUCCUGGUCCUCCUCCGGCGGCACGGCCUCUGGCUCCGCCACCCCGUCCGCCGGCUGGCGCACACCGAUCCCCCCGCGCUCGCCGUCCCCCAUCGAAAUGGUCCGCCUCACCGCCGAGGGCAUCGCCGACAUGGUCGACCAGGCCGUCGCCAUGGCGUUCGGCCAAACCUGCGGCCGCAACUACAUGCGCAUCCAGGCAGCGGCGCCGACGCACUCGAUCAAGGCACUCCGGUCGCUGGAGGCUUGGAAGGUGGUGGCGAUCGCGGACGGGAUGCUGACGACAAGAAUGGGGUCGGGGUCGCUCCACCUCCUCCUUGUCUCCGCGACCGCCCGGUCCGCGGCGACGGGAGCCGGGCAUGGUCCAGAGGGCUGA
rnacentral:rRNA from 1 species